rnacentral:rRNA from 1 species
GACGGAGGAGGCAAGCAUUGUCCGGAAUUAUUGGGCGUAAAGAACACGUAGGCGGUUUUUCAAGUCAAUUGUGAAAACCUCGGGCUUAACUUGAGGAUUGCACUUGAUACUGGAUAACUAGAGUACAGUAGAGGAAAGUGGAAUUCCUGGUGUAGCGGUGAAAUGCGCAGAUAUCAGGAAGAACACCAGUGGCGAAAGCGGCUUUCUGGACUGUUACUGACGCUGAGGUGUGAAAGCUAGGGGAGCGAACAGG